UACGUAGGGGGCUAGCGUUGUCCGGAAUCAUUGGGCGUAAAGAGCGUGUAGGCGGCCCGGUAAGUCCGCUGUAAAAGUCAAAGGCUCAACCUUUGAAUGUCAGUGGAUACUGCCGGGCUAGAGUCCGGAAGAGGCGAGUGGAACUCCUGGUGUAGCGGUGGAAUGCGCAGAUAUCAGGAAGAACACCAGCGGCGAAGGCGGCGCUCUGGGCCGGUACUGACGCUGAGGAGCGAAAGCGUGGGGAUCAAACAGG
rnacentral:rRNA from 1 species